UACGUAGGGGGCAAGCGUUGUCCGGAUUUAUUGGGCGUAAAGAGCGUGUAGGCGGCUAGGUAGGUCCGUUGUGAAAACUCGAGGCUCAACCUCGAGCUGUCGAUGGAAACCAUCUGGCUAGAGUCCGGAAGAGGAGAGUGGAAUUCCUGGUGUAGCGGUGAAAUGCGCAGAUAUCAGGAAGAACACCCGUGGCGAAGGCGGCUCUCUGGGACGGUACUGACGCUGAGACGCGAAAGCGUGGGGAGCAAACAGG
rnacentral:rRNA from 1 species